UGAUCUGAGAAAGUGGUGAAAGUGGCAAUGUGUUUUGUGAUCUGACCUCAGAAAUGACGUAUUGUCAUCUUCUAUUUGGUAGAGGAGAGCUGUUAUGUCUAGCUCACGCUCAAGGAAAUGACUUACUGCAAAGAACCACUCUUCCCCACGAGACUUCGAGAAGACCCGCUGUCACGGACUGAGUUGUGUCCUCUUAAAAUUCAGAUGUUGGAGUCCAAACCCCCAGUAACUCAGAGUGUGAACGUAUUUGAAGAGGUCUUUAAAGAGGUGAUGAAGGUCUUUGUCUCUGACAAUUUGCCUCUGUGACGUGGAUGGGACUGGAAGUCCAUUUGGAGCCCUGUCUUCUCCACCUAGGGAGAGAGACCCCAUGAGCUCGUCAAGCUCCUUCUGUGACUGAUCAGAGAUCCCACCGUGAGUCCAGCUCCUGGUCCCAUGCUCUGGAUAUAUCGGUCCCUGGCAGCGUGCAACUCCUUAGCCAAAGACGUGGCAACUGCGGGUGAAGUAUCUCUGGGCAGGAAAUCAAUGCAGAAAUGCAACUGGGGAGAGGGGGCUUGGGGGCCAGUUCCAGGGAGAUUGGAACUGCUGUGUUCUCAUCAGCAGAAGUGGCCCCUGCCCACCCCCAUCCUAAUCCCUUCUCAUGUGGGAGAAGGUCUGUGAGCCCUCUCCCUACCAGGCAGGUUCUAUGGCAAUGUGGGCACAUACCCUGGGGCAGGGGCCGAGGGACUUAACUCACUUCAUGAGCGCCAAUGGAGGAGCGAAGGGAAUGCCUGAUGAAAACAACAUUCUACCAGUAUGCACUGUUUUCUAACCUACAGAGUGCCUCUGUGUUCACUGUCCCAUUUGAGAAUUCUAAGUAGAAUUCUGAACAGGCUGGAGCAGAUUGCCCACCCCAAGGGACAGAUGUUGGCUGGUACUGUUGGUAUUCAUGGAAGAUUCCUUCUGACACUCCCUCCUUCUUUGUAAUUGCCAUGAACUGGAGCACUGGGCCAAUAUAAAUCAUCCAAGGGUGAACACGCUGCACAUGGACGGCUCCUCUUUGUUUUUGAAGGGAUUCCAUCUCUAUUUUGCCAUGUGCUCCUUCACCCCACUCCCCACCCCCGUCUUUCAUUUCUUUCUCUGGAAAAGAUACUUCAACUCACAGGACUGCGAUGUUGAAACGGACACCCAAGAGCAUCACAGAUGGGCCAGGCCUGGACCUCUCGGGACAACAUUCCUCACGACUUUUAGAUAGAAGAGAUUAGAGAUUUGGGACUGGUGGCAACUGGUAACGUUUUCAGUGUUUGGUAAACAGCCAGGGUCCGGAGCUCUGGGAACAGCCUGAUUUAGCUCUUUGUUUAAGUUUUGUGUUAGAGGCUCCCAAGAAGCUGAUGCAGGGGAAAGAAAUUAACAACCAUGGCUCAUUCACAGCCAGGCAGCCAAAUGGACAGCUCUAUAAGACUCAAGCCGACAGCGGAGAGAGUGCAACCAAACAGCCUUGGCCCAGCUUUCAGAGGAGAACGUUAUUCACCCCAACUGCUCUGCAUCUGCCUGGAUGUCUGCCAAGAUCUGUGAGCAUUACAGCGUUGGUAUGCUUUGGGUGAGGCCUGUGGCUAUGGCAACAAGUUGGGAGCAACCCGGUCCCUGGGAAUGAGAACAGUGUCUAAAAUCAGGCAGGCGAGGGGCAGGGAGGAGAGGUAAAGGUUGGACUUGCCUGAAGAUGGAGCCGUUUUAUUGUUGUGGGUAAAGCUGCUACCAUUAGGGGCUGUUUACAGAGUGGGUGCAGCUCAAGCUGGGAGCAUGUUAGACUCAGCGACUACGAUCAACCUAUUGACUUGUUCCCAUGAGACAGAGUAAAUUAACUGUUGCAGUACUGGUCAUGUACCACCAACCUCCUGUGAACCAGCCCUCAGUGAAACAUUUAUGUGAAAGGCCAUGGUGUUCCCAUAAGAGGGUGCAUGUUCUCUCCCUUGACUAACUCUUCAGUAUGCCUCAUUCUCACGCGCUGGUGUGCAGGAAGGAGUCCAACAUGCCCCAUUGACAGUCAUGCCCUGUAUGUGGAAAGUCUUCAGGUAGAGCACUGGGCUCAGGUUUGAAGAUGUGAGUUCUAAUCCUAGCAAGGCCAUUACCUCCCAGUGACCUCAUGUCUCGAUUUCCUCAACCACAAAACAAAGGCAUUGGUGAGCUGACCUCUAAGGCCUCUCCAGUUCUCACCUUCUGUGUCUCUACAGACUGGAGACUAGAAGAUUAUGGGCACUUUUAUUGAGUCUUCAUUUUGUUUCCAUUUCUUUGUAGUCAUCAGCUGGAGUUGAGGACAAGUUUUAACAAUAGAUAGGUUUCUUUUUGUCUCUUUUUAAAAAAUUUUAUUUAAAAUAAAUGCCAAGUGUAGUGGCUCAUACCUGUAAUCCCAGCACUUUGGGGAGGCCAAGGUGGGAGGAUUGCUUUUGAGUUUGAGACCAGCCUGGGCAACGUGGUGAGACCCUGUUUGUACAAAAAAUUUUAAAUUAGCCAGGCAUGGUGGCGUGUGCCUAUAGUCCUAGCUACUCUGGAGGUAGAGGCAGGAGGAUCCCUUGAACCUGGGAGGUUGAGGCCACAGUGAGCUGUGAUUGUGCUAUUGAACUCUAGCCUGGGCAACAGAGCAAGACCCUGUCUCUUAAAAAAGACUAUUUUUUAAGAACACUUUUAGGUUCACAGCGAAAUUUGGAGGAAACUUGGCAUAUGUCAUAUGCCCCCUGCUCCCAUGCAUGCACAGCCUCUACCAUUAGCAAUGUCCCCACUCAAAUGGUACCUUUGUUGUAAUCAACAACCCUGUACUGACACAUCAUCAUCACCCAAACUCCAUAGUUCACAUUAGGUUUCACUCUUGGUGUGGUGUACAUUCCAUGGGCUUGAACAACUGUAUAAUGACAUUAUCCACCACUGCAGGAUCAUACAGAGUAGUCUCACUGCCCUAAAACUACUCUGUGCUCCACCUGUUUGUCCCUUCUUUCACUCUAAACUCCUGGCAACAACUGACCUUUUUACUGCCUCGAUAGCUUUGCCUUCUUCGGAAUGUCAUGUAGUUGAAAUCAUACAUCAUGAAGCCUUUUCAGAUUGGCUUCAUAUAGGUUUCCUUCCUUCCUUCCUCCCACCACCUUCCUUUCUUUCUGUAUUCCUAACUCUUGGAUGUAUUUUCCCCAGCAUCAUGACUUGAUGGGACUUUUGCUAAGAUAGGCAAUCAUAGAAAGUCAUAAAUCUCUUGUCAGCCUUAUUGGCUCACCUCCGAGAUGGUUCCAACACUCUUUAAGGCCCACUUUUCCAAUCCACAGAUUCCCCAGCAGAAGUCCAAGCUGCUGAGCCUCACAUCAUCUUUUGCACUAGUAAUCUUUACCACUACUUCACUGUAGCAUUUGAAAAUUUUCAUAUGAAGCCAUAGUUCUGUGUCUUUUUUUUUUUUUUUUUUUUUUUGGAGACGGAGUCUUAACCUGUUGCCCAGGCUGGAGUGCAGUGGCACAGUCUUAGCUCACUGCAAGCUCCGCCUCACGGGUUCAAGUGAUUCUUGCCUCAGCCUCCCAAGUAGCUGGGAUUACAGGCGCGCCACCAUGCCCAGCUAAAUUUGUUGGCAUUUUUAGUAGAGAUGGGGUUUCACCAUGUUGGCCAGGCUGGUCUCAAACUCCUUACCUCAGGUGAUCUGCCUGCCUCAGCCUCCCAAAGUGCUGGGAUUAAAGGUGUGAGCCACCGCACCUGGCCUGAAGCCAUAGUUCUUAACCUCAGUUGUGCAAUAGAAUUAUCUGGGGAAUUUAAAAAUUAGAAAAAACCCAUGCCCUGAAGAUUGUGAUCUAACUGGUCUUGCGUAGCGCCUGGGCAUUGGUAUUUUUUAAAUGUUUCCCAACUGAUACUAAUGUGGCCAUUCUGCAAGCCACAGUUGAAAGGCUUAUUCAAGCAUCCUGUUGCUGAAUGCAUGUCGUCCUUACCACAUGACUCUGGAGGUUUUCUUGUAUUCUGAUGUGGCUGCCCUGUUGAGGCCUGCCCCUUAGAGUGGAGAUUAUCCCCUGCAGUAGGCUGCCUGGAAUAUGAUCCCCAGUGAUCCCUGCUUCCUGGUAUUCAGGCCCUGGUGUGAUCCCUUUCCCUUGAAGCCUGGGCUGGAUUAGUGACUUGCUUCUAACCAACAGCAUAUGGCAAAAAUAAAUGUUUAUUGUUUUAAA
rnacentral:lncRNA from 1 species